UGGUCUUGACAUCCACGGAAGUUUUCAGAGAUGAGAAUGUGCCUUCGGGAACCGUGAGACAGGUGCUGCAUGGCUGUCGUCAGCUCGUGUUGUGAAAUGUUGGGUUAAGUCCCGCAACGAGCGCAACCCUUAUCCUUUGUUGCCAGCGGUCCGGCCGGGAACUCAAAGGAGACUGCCAGUGAUAAACUGGAGGAAGGUGGGGAUGACGUCAAGUCAUCAUGGCCCUUACGACCAGGGCUACACACGUGCUACAAUGGCGCAUACAAAGAGAAGCGACCUCGCGAGAGCAAGCGGACCUCAUAAAGUGCGUCGUAGUCCGGAUUGGAGUCUGCAACUCGACUCCAUGAAGUCGGAAUCGCUAGUAAUCGUGGAUCAGAAUGCCACGGUGAAUACGUUCCCGGGCCUUGUACACACCGCCCGUCACACCAUGGGAGUGGGUUGCAAAAGAAGUAGGUAGCUUAACCUUCGGGAGGGCGC
rnacentral:rRNA from 1 species